rnacentral:rRNA from 1 species
AACGGCCAUACCAUGCUGAAUAUACCGGUUCUCGUUAGAUCACCGAAGUCAAGCAUCAUUGGGCGCGGUCAGUACUUGGGUGGGUGACCACUUGGGGACACCCCGUGCCGUU